CUUCCGCCCACAAUGGUGAAAUCACAGCAGGCGAUGCUGUAGGAGAUGGGCUCCUCUUUGAGCUUUGCUGCUCUUUCACCAGGUACCAGUGUCCAGCCUGUUGGAGAUGGUGGCUCCUGAGAAAGCAGCACCAGCAUGAAGUGGUGACCAAAGCAGGACUGCAUCAUGACCCAGUCAACAGCACCUGGAAGGUUAAUGUCUGUGGCAAG